ensembl:lncRNA
UUUUUAAUCCCUUAAUUUUAAAACAGAUAAAAAAAACUCUAAGCAUCAAAAACCAAAAGCAAAGUGAAGCGAUGUGAAUCUUUCUGCACGUAUUUCAUAAGCAAUCCAGAAUGAGUCUUUUGUUUGUUUGCUUCAUUUUAGAAUAAAAGUGUUUUUGAUGUCCCGUGCUGCAUUUUUGUAGGACUGAAAAGCCAGAUGCCCUCAUUCACAGACUUCAGUCAAACCAUGUAUGAUUUCCAAUGAAUGAAAGCUAGCUCCUGGCACUGGGUCUCAGAGAAUACCCGUGGCACAGUGUAACACUAGCAGUUACUUCCUUCAGCUACUUUCUCUCGGCUAACAUUUAGGUAUUUUCCUUAAAGAAAAUCUAUUAAUGGAAUGCACAUUUGCCUAAUCUCAGAUAUGUUUAAAUAGGCAAAAUGCAUCUCAUUUUCUUACUAACAAACACUGCCUUUCAUUCACCUGAUCUUCGUUGUGCCUAUAGAACUCAGGUGGCAGUCUCUGGUACAGUCAGUGCACUUCUUCAGCAGACCAGAGCACCAUGUCAGCAAGAUAUGCAUGUCACCCAGCUGUCAUCACCCACUGAAGUUGCAAAAUGUGCAUCACCCAGUCCAGCAGCUGUGCGUCUCAUAGGGGUGCAUGUGGCAGCCUCCAGUCCAAAGGCCCAGCCUGGGAGCUCAGCUGGCAAACCAGAGAAUGCCAUCAGUCCGUGUGUGCAUUCAGUCCCCUCCCGAUUACUCAUCUGGUAGCAUCAUGCUGUACUUGCUGGCCUCAAUCCAGCAAAGUACUUCACCACAUGCCUAACUUUAAGCGGACAAGUAACUAUUGCUUGUAUUACAGUUUUAGGCUAAGCACAUGCCUUUGUGUUUUGCUGUACUAAAACCACAGGCAAUACUUGAGAGGCUUUUGUAUUUGCCCUCUGCUCUAUGCACUGUAACCCCUGCCUGCAAUGCUGGAAUAUGUUCUCGGUUCUGGACAACUGAAACUUUCAGGAAGACCAUGCUAGGGUUGUACUUGCCCGAAGGAUGAAAGCCUCUGUUAUUUACCCCUGGGAAACAAUCUCCCAGAGAUGAAGCUAGAAAGGUCAGAUGUGGGUAGGAAUUUUUCAAGGCAGAUCUAUUGCUUGGCUGGGUUUGUGCCUCCUGAUUGACCUAACUCUUAAAAUGAGUAACAUUUUCCAGGUUGAAAUAACAAAAUCAUUCUCUGCAAAGAAAUUCUCCUGCCUAACGACAUUUCUACAGCCACCAUGCUAAGAGCAAUAGGCAUGCCCUGGCUGUCAUCAACAGAAGGAUCCUGGUGACCCGCUCUUUAAUGGUGAGGCUGCAAGCAGGACAGAAUUUUAAUUGCAAUUCCACACUCAUGACAGCUUCCAGAUUUUGUGCUGCAAAAUAUUUUUUAGUCAUAACUUGUUUUAUCUUCUCGUCAUCCUUGGGAAAGCAAAUCCAUUUGGCUCUGUGCUUGGGUUACUAUCACUCUUCUCCAAGGAGAUCCACCCACACAAAUCUGCUGCAAAUUGCACCCUCAUGAUCAGCACUUGGCUGAGCAGUCCAGAGUCCUCUGAACACCAGGAGAGCCCUGACAUGAGGCAGUAACAAGACCUGAUUCCCCAUCUAUCUCCAGCAUGCACUUCCCCUGCCAGCUGGCUUCUCCAGGCUUGGAGAGCAACUGAACACCCUUCUCUCCCCAGAACAGUUCCUGGCAAACACUGGCCAAGGGGAUGGGGCAUGCCAUCCUCUCUCCUUCCUGGCAGGGCAGUGGAAGGGACCACAUGUUGAUCACAGCUUGCUGAAAGCCAAGUCCCUAAUGAAUCCAGCUAAGGGACGGAAAUUUUUACACCAAUGCAGUGCCAGCAUGAAACUGCACAGACCAUGUCCAGCUGCUCUCAGCCCUUUGUUUCACUAUCAGUACUCUACGCACUUCUGGGCUCCUGAGCAUUAGGAUUUUGCCUUCCUGUCUUUUCCCAAGCAGCCCAGUAUCUCUGUUCCCAAGCUGGCUGGUGGACCAUCACCUCUAUUUGCCCUCUAAUCCUCUUCUGCCUGAAGCCUGCCACAAAGAACACUCAGCACUGAGGCCCUUUCCUGGUUGAAGAAGGCAGGAAAUACAAGGAUAGUUGCGCUCACAAUAGGAAAUCAUCCACUGGACCACCAAUCUUUCUCUGCAGCAUCUAAUAUCCUUAAUGCAGACACCUCCUUCAGUCAUGUUUCUCAAACUGGUCCUUGUCUGCACCAAAUGCUGGCCCUUCACAUCAAAGCAUAAUGAAAACUUCUGGAUUUGUUUUAGAAGCAGAAAAUUGACAGGUAGCCUUAAAGGUAAAGCUGUUCCUAUGUAGAGCAGUUACCCAAAUAUUUUUACAAAUAUUUGCAUACCUACAUGUGCAUAAUGUGCCAUAAAGAGAUCAUCAGAACUAUUUUCAGAUAUGCCUAAGCCAGGUACAGCCCUCAGCCUGUAGCAGCCCUGAGGUGCGAGUGUAGUAUCCUACAGGCACAGAUCCCAAUAGGAAGGCAUCCACCCCCCAGGACCUUAUGACAAGAACAAGUCUAUUUUCCCAUGUCAGGUGCCACUGGAAUGUAAAUACACAGCAGCCAUAAUACAGUAAGAUGCAGGUCAUAAGCAUGUGAGAUGGAUCUCCUGAGAAAAUCUCAUCUUCCCAAGGGGAAGAAAAAAAAAA